CCUACGGGAGGCUGCAGUGAGGAAUAUUGGUCAAUGGGCGCGAGCCUGAACCAGCCAAGUAGCGUGAAGGAUGACUGCCCUACGGGUUGUAAACUUCUUUUAUAAAGGAAUAAAGUGAGGCACGUGUGCCUUUUUGUAUGUACUUUAUGAAUAAGGAUCGGCUAACUCCGUGCCAGCAGCCGCGGUAAUACGGAGGGUCCGGGCGUUAUCCUGAUUUAUUGGGUUUAAAGGGGGCGUAGGGUGGGAGGUAAGUCAGCGGUGAAAUGCCCCGGCUCAACGGGGGGAAGUGCCAUUGAUACUGCCUUGCUGGAGUGCGGAUGAGGUGGGAGGAAUGUGUGGUGUAGGGGUGAAAUGCAUAGAUAUCACACAGAACACCGAUUGCGAAGGCAACUCACGAAUCCGCGACUGACGCUGAUGCACGAAAGCGUGGGUAUCAAACAGGAUUAGAUACCCUAGUAGUC
rnacentral:rRNA from 1 species